ACGAACGCUGGCGGCAUGCCUCACACAUGCAAGUCGAACGAGACCUUCGGGUCUAGUGGCGCACGGGUGCGUAACGCGUGGGAACCUGCCCUUAGGUUCGGAAUAACUCCCCGAAAGGGGUGAUAAUACCGGAUAAUGUCUUCGGACCAAAGAUUUAUCGCCUUUGGAUGGGCCCGCGUUGGAUUAGCUAGUUGGUAGGGUAAAAGCCUACCAAGGCGACGAUCCAUAGCUGGUCUGAGAGGAUGAUCAGCCACACUGGGACUGAGACACGGCCCAGACUCCUACGGGAGGCAGCAGUGGGGAAUAUUGGACAAUGGGCGAAAGCCUGAUCCAGCAAUGCCGCGUGAGUGAUGAAGGCCUUAGGGUUGUAAAGCUCUUUUACCCGGGAUGAUAAUGACAGUACCGGGAGAAUAAGCUCCGGCUAACUCCGUG
rnacentral:rRNA from 1 species